rnacentral:lncRNA from 1 species
CAAAAAUCGGAAGCUACACGUUGAAUUAAAUUUGUAAACAUAAAUAUAAAACACUAAACAAUAUACUCUCGAAACAUAAAUCAAACACUAAAGCCAAUACACUAAAAACUAUACCCUAAAUACUAUAUCAUAUUCUAUACCAUAAACACUAAAGUAUAUACCCUAAACCCUAAAGUAUAUACCCAUAUAUAGAAAUUCUAACUAAACACUAAACUUAAAUCUAUUAUUAUAUCCUAAGAUAAUAAACCAAUAAAAUUAUACAUUUUCAUAUCGUGUAAUUUCUCACUAUAUAUCCGCAUACCUACAUCCCCUAAACCCUAAACUAAAAUCACUAUACUCA